GUAAAAUGUCAGUCUUGCCAAUGAAACAAGUCGCUUUACCGAUUCUACCUUACCCAUAGAACGUGGAGUUAUAGUCGGAGAUCGCUUCGAUGAUAUCGACCGAUACCUGUAAUAAGAAAAUAUAUAAAAAGAUUACCAAACGAGGAAGUUAGAAAUAGCGCUACCUAUAAUCGGUACAAAUAAAUUCAAUGGCGCGAAAAGGUUUUACGUAUUUGCAAAUACUUUGAACUUCAAACAACCGUACCCAUACCUGAAACUUUAGCUAUUAAAAGCGUAUAUUAUAUCUGCGUUACUUAUAUAGUAAUUAAAAAUGUAUGUUUUUACUUUA